UACGAGGGGGGCAAGCGUUGUUCGGAAUUACUGGGCGUAAAGGGCGCGUAGGCGGCAUGUCAAGUGGAUGGUGAAAUCCCUCGGCUUAACCGAGGAACUGCCGUCCAAACUGCUUCGCUUGAGACCGGGAGAGGUGAGUGGAAUUCCCAGUGUAGCGGUGAAAUGCGCAGAUAUCAGGAAGAACACCCGUGGCGAAGGCGGCUCUCUGGUACGUGACUGACGCUGAGACGCGAAAGCGUGGGGAGCAAACAGG
rnacentral:rRNA from 1 species